rnacentral:rRNA from 1 species
GACAGGGGUCUCGAGCGUUAAUCGGAAUCACUGGGCUUAAAGGGUGCGUAGGCGGGCCUGUAAGUGUCCUGUGAAAUCCCCCGGCUCAACCGGGGAACUGCGGGGCAUACUGCGGGUCUUGAGGAAGGUAGGCGCCGAGGGAACAGUAGGUGGAGCGGUGAAAUGCGUAGAUAUCUACUGGAACGCCGAUGGUGAAGACGCUCGGCUGGGCCUUUCCUGACGCUGAGAGACGAAAGCUAGGGGAGCGAAUGGG